AAAACUAACCUGAGUUAGUAAUAUCUAAUUAAAUUAUAUUAACAAUAAUAUUUUAAUAAUUCAUAUAAAAAAUAUGAGAAAGGACCUAAACAAACAAGCUAUUACAUAGAAAAAAAAAUCAUAGGGAAUUCAAAACGUAAAUUAAAAGUGUGUUUGUAAAGAAUUAUACAUUUAAACUAAAAUUUUACUAAUUUUUUCUGA
rnacentral:lncRNA from 1 species